rnacentral:rRNA from 1 species
AAUGAGCCUGCGAGUUGUGGUGUCUGGCAAGGUUAAGCAAACGCGAAGCCGUAGCGAAAGCGAGUCUGAAUAGGGCGCUUAGUCAGAUGCUGCAGACCCGAAACGAAGUGAUCUAUCCAUGAGCAAGUUGAAGCUAGUGUAAGAACUAGUGGAGGACUGAACCCAUAGGCGUUGAAAAGCCCCGGGAUGACUUGUGGAUAGGGGUGAAAGGCCAAUCAAACUUCGUGAUAGCUGGUUCUCUCCGAAAUAUAUUUAGGUAUAGCGUUGUGUCGUAAUAUAAGGGGGUAGAGCACUGAAUGGGCUAGGGCAUACACCAAUGUACCAAACCCUAUCAAACUCCGAAUACCUUAUAUGUAAUCACAGCAGUCAGGCGGCGAGUGAUAAAAUCCGUCGUCAAGAGGGAAACAACCCAGACUACCAGCUAAGGUCCCUAAAUCUUACUUAAGUGGAAAACGAUGUGAAGUUACUUAAACAACCAGGAGGUUGGCUUAGAAGCAGCCAUCCUUUAAAGAAAGCGUAAUAGCUCACUGGUCUAGUGAUUUUGCGCGGAAAAUAUAACGGGGCUAAAGUAAGUACCGAAGCUGUAGACUUGCACACAACUUAGAUUAUUUAAGUUUAGAAUAUGAGAAACUAAGUUAUAUGUUUAGUUAUAUUUUUACUGAUUUUUAUAGAGUAAAGAUAGAAAUAAAACUUAGUAAAAUCAGUAAAAAUAUUCUUAGACUAAAGUUAAGUAGUUUAAGUUGUGUGCAAGUGGUAGGAGAGCGUUCUAUUUGCGUCGAAGGUAUACCGGU